rnacentral:rRNA from 1 species
AACCAGACUCUACGGGAGGCAGCAGUGGGGGAUAUUGGACAAUGGGGGGAACCCUGAUCCAGCGAUGCCGCGUGAGGGAAGAAGGUUUUCGGAUUGUAAACCUCUGUGGACAGGGACGAUAAUGACGGUACCUGUCAAGAAAGCCACGGCUAACUCCGUGCCAGCAGCCGCGGUAAUACGGAGGAUGCGAGCGUUAUCCGGAUUUAUUGGGUUUAAAGGGUGCGCAGGCGGCGAGUUAAGUCAGCGGUAAAAUUGGGGGCCCAACCCCCGACAAGCCGUUGAAACUGGCUUGCUAGAGUGGGCGAGAAGUAUGCGGAAUGCGUGGUGUAGCGGUGAAAUGCAUAGAUAUCACGCAGAACUCCGAUUGCGAAGGCAGCAUACCGGCGCCCAACUGACGCUCAGGCACGAAAGCGUGGGUAUCGAACAGGAUUAGAUACCCCGGUA